AGUCAGGGAGCUGGUUAGCAGUGUCCCCUGAGAAUCUGCUCUAGAGGAUUUAGUGGGGCUAUGAGAACUGGUCACUUUAGAACCCCACCUUUUAAAAGUCCAGGAGCAGAUGUUCCCGUUGUGUUCUGAGUCAAGUAAGUGGGGCAGAAGACCAGCUUGUCUGAGCAGGGAACUCCUGGAACGUGGGCAGGAAGAAGAAAUAUGAUCUCUGGAAAUGUGGUCAGGCUUCACAGUUUACAGAGCUGCAGUUCACAUCUUUAGGGAGAACACAAGGAAAACCAAAGCUCAACUUGAACUGACACUGCCCAGAGUGGAGCCAGACAAGAAAAGAAAGCUAUUUUAAGUAUGUCAACAGCAAGAGCAAGUUAGUGGAUUUUACAGCAGGACCCCUCUCAAUUAUAAGCCAAAGGUCUUGGAAGUCUGGGGAGUUCCCACUGGCUAGAAAUCAGACAGUGUUUUCCUCAUUUACAAAAAGGGCACAAAAGAAGACAGUGGAAUUACAGCCUGGGAAUCAUUUUUAAAGCUGACUUUCAUCCUUGCUAGUGUUCAGUGUGUUCAAACACUGAUUACCCCAUUAAAAGCAAGAGAUACUUAUGUUUCCUUCACUGCAAAAACUGGAGUGGUUGCUUCCUCCAGAGAGAAACCAUCUACAUAGGAAAAUGAGCCUGCUCUUUUACUCUGACACAGAAUGCAUAAUCAGUGCUGAAAUUCAUGUAACCGCUGCAGAAUACAUAGACACAGACCUGAACAAUAUGAUCAGACUGAGACAGUAUUUGAGGUUUUUAUCUUCCAUUGGUGCUUAAUUUCCUUAGAUUAUGACCUGUCAGUUUUCCUCAAGUGAUUAAAUUACUCACUCUUCUUUUUAUAGAUCUUUUCGUACUUGUGAAACUAAAAGAGUUCUCUGAACUGUAAAGCAGAUAUCUGCUCUACGUGAGCCCUGGCAGGGAGAUGUUUUGCUGCCAAUUUGCACUCUGCUUGGUUAGAACUUUGUAUCUCUCCUUUAGCAGGUUGGGAGGUAAGCAUUUUGGUUUUUAAACAAAGAAUAAACAAAAAGAUGAAUUUGCUCCAACUGCAGGAGAAAAAACACCUCUUCCAGCAGAAGGCCUCCAGGAACUGAAAAAAAUGUGUGCUUUGCAUCGUGUGACAGCAGGAGCGGGGCGUUUGGCUGCAAAGAGAGGAGCAUAUGGCAGAAGAAGCGAAGUUUGUUUUACAGAGCAAGCCCAUCCCAGCAACAGCAUCAGCCAGUGGAAAGAAAACUCUGCUGUGAAAAUCAGAAGGGAAGCAUGGAACAGCUGGGUGCAGGGCAGGGAGUGGAAAGGCAGUUUUGCCUCUUCUGUGGUACUGUGGUCUUUGGCAACUGAGAUAUACCCAAUGGCUGAGCAGUAAGGUAUGUCAUAUGUGCACCCUUACCCGUGGAUGGACCUGUACCAACCUGGAGAUUGGGUGUACCUGAAGACAUAGUUAGAUGAGGAGAAGAGAGGACCCUUCCAGAUCUUACUCACCAGCCAUGCAGCAGUCAGACUCAAGGGAAUCAGUCUAUGGAUUCAUUACAGUAGAGUCAAAGCCAUCUGCAACAUCAGAAUAGGCUGUCAAGGAAGAAGGACUAUUGUAUUUGCAAUUAACUCAGGCUGUGUGAGACUAGGUUAUCUGUUUCUUAUCGUUAAAAGUAAUGCAUUUAUUUAAAGUGAGGAAAUGAAUGUGAAAGUGAAAAUUUGGUUUUAAAAUUAAUAAAAGAGUUUGGUAGGAUGUGCAAUGUCACUAGCAUUCGUAUAGUGGUAAUUAUAAGAGGCAUAGGACUCCGUAUAAGAUGUAUGAAAAGAUAUUUUGAAAAAAAAUAUGUGAAAGUAAUUAGAAGAACUAACUACUUCCCAAGGGGUCAAUUGAUACCUGGCAAUUAAUUAACCACAGGCCCCUUACAAGGACCCCAUACUAACACAGAGCAUGCAUACUAUUAGAUUUCAAUACAGCAGUCUUUGAAAUAGGCAGGCAUUCCGUGGAAAAUGUAUGAAUAUUCACACAUUCAAUAUAUAUAAUCUGUAUGCUUUUAGCUCCUGGCUAUGCACAUUAGGUGGACCCGUGCAUCUGGUCACAGUAAGGAAUGCCUGCUUCUUAAUGCUACAUUACUAUUAAUGAGUUUUAUUCCAGAUUUCAGUGACAGAAUUGGUGUUAUUAAUUGCCUUUUUUUUCCCCUCCCAAAAAGUAUGAGGGUAAGACACAUGGGUAUAUGAGGCAUCUUUAGAUAUGCAGUGAGACAACUCAGACACUAGGCAAAACUUGUCUCUGGAUACUGUCUGUCUCCCAUUUUAUUUAAGUAUCUUUCAGCUACUGCCAUGAACCCAGGAUAUCUCUUUUCAGCUGGCAGGAGCUGAUACAGCAGGAAUAGCUGUCAAAUAUGAUAAAGUUUCUCCCUUCAAAUACUCCUUCUUGCACCGUUCUUGGUACAGUUUAGGGUACCAGUAGAAGAAAUGAAGACAAACAGACAUCAAACAUACUGCGCAAGGUCAGUGAGCACCGAGAAGAAACAUCCAUCCUUCUAUAUCUGAUGCAAAGUGCCACAUCUUAGCUUUUUCUUUUUCAAAAACUCUACUGGAAUUUGAAGAGGUUUUAAAACGCCAGUACAUUAUUUGAAUAAUUGUGCUUAUAUCCAGGGUAUGGUUCAAGGCAUGUAUGCCACCCAAAACAACUGAUCUGUUCCAGAGAAAUAGUACAACACUUCUGAAACAGGGAAGAAAAGUCUGACUCCCACUGACUUGACUUUAGUCUUCUUUUGCAAGUGGGUCUUGCCACUGAGAAUCUAAAUACGCAUCAGAUGUCUAAAAACAGUAAAUCAUGUAAGGGUUUUAACUGGGAAAAUAAUUCAGCAACCCUUAGGAACUAUUACAUUUUCACAUUAUUGCCAUUAAAAAAAUCCACAUCUUCUCAGUGCUUGCAUAAGCAAAGUGGUUUGCCUCAGGUGAAUGCUGCUCCACUGAAGGAUGUGAUACCCACUCUGUGUUGGUGCUCUCUAUUCCAAGGGGUGCAGCUCUGCCAAUACUGCAGAAAUUUGAGGAUGCUUUUCUGUGAGGCAGUAGUGUUUAAAAUUUCACCCCAUCCAUUAGUUUGCUCCAGAAUUAGCCUUGUAAGUACAUCUGAGUUCCGUGGCAUAGUGUUGCAGUAAAAGCCAGUCUCAGAUGAGGGACUCUGACAGUUUAUUUAUAGUUCAGAAGGUCAAAGAGUUGCCUUAAUUGGAAAACAUCGCUCACCAGUCUCUGAGCAUAUUGAUGUACUUUGCAUUCGAUGCCAUUAGUUACUUGUGUGAGUUUCUAAUAUCACCUUUGUUAAUAAGAUACAUUCACCAUAAUGGGCUGCCUGCAGGUUCCAAGAGCCAUUUAUAUGCUAAGUUUGACAAGUUUGAUGAUGCUAAACCCAUGCUGAAAGCAAUAGCUGUCAGAACUGUACCUGGGUGCCAGGCAGAAGUCUGUGACCUUCAAACUGUUUUGGGAUGGGAUGUGCUAAAUCCCAGCUGUCUGGUAUGUGACCAGGCAGCAAAGGUAUUUCUUCAAAUUUGUCUUGAAUUCCUGCCAGAAAAGUUGUAUAUAAACGUCACAGCAAAAGUUUGACAGAGUUGGCUUGUAGUAGAAGGAAGGUGAAAUAAAGUCACAGAAUCACAGAGGCUGGAAGGGACCUCAAGAGAUCAUCGAGUCCAACCCCCUGCCAAAGCAGGCGCCCUACAACAGGUCACACAGGUUGGUGUCCUGACAGGUCUUGAAUAUCUCCAGAGAAGGAGAAGUCAAAGUGCUCCCAACAUGUCCAAAUUAAAGCAUACAAUAGCAAACACACUGAGUGAUUUGACCUAAGAAUCUCUCAUCCAUAGAGCUGCAGACUAGAAAAAAGAAAUCCUUAAAGCAAAGGAAACUAUCUUAAAGAAGUCUAAAAAUUCCCACUUGGUUUUACUUCUGCUGUUCCCAACCUCUCCCUUGCCUACUGCUGUUGCUGAAAAAGGCCUUGUCAAAUUUUACAUGUAGUAUGGCCCAUUAGACACUGGAUCUUAACCAUAGGAGGAAGGCAGAACAUUGAUGUUCAUUGUUCAAAUUUAUGUAGGAAGGGAGCAAGAAAGAGGAUUAAUAUGGAGGUGGCUAAUGCUAGGACUCCUCCAAGUUUGUCUGGAAUUGAGCUCAGGAUGACAUUACAAUUAGGAAUCAUCCCCCUAAUUUGAUGUGAGCAGGUAGGAUUAGUGAGGUUGCUGAUCUGAAAUUUUAUGGGUCCCUUAAGAGGUUAGGGGAGAAUAAGGCUAGUAUUAGGAAGAGGUUUAUAAAUGCAUGGGUUGAGAUGUGAAGGAAAGCUAGUUGUGAGAGAUCAAGUCCAAUGGUGACUAUUAUUAAGCUUAGCCGGCAGAAGGUGGAGAAAGCAAUGAUUUUUUUUUUUUAUGUUG